rnacentral:rRNA from 1 species
AUUGAACGCUGGCGGCAGGCCUAACACAUGCAAGUCGAGCGGAUGAAGGGAGCUUGCUCCUGGAUUCAGCGGCGGACGGGUGAGUAAUGCCUAGGAAUCUGCCUGGUAGUGGGGGAUAACGUCCGGAAACGGGCGCUAAUACCGCAUACGUCCUGAGGGAGAAAGUGGGGGAUCUUUGGACAUCACGCUAUCAGAUGAGCCUAGGUCGGAUUAGCUAGUUGGUGGGGUAAAGGCCUAGCAAGGCGACGAUCCGUGACUGGUCUGAGAGGAUGAUCAGUCACACUGGAACUGAGACACGGUCAAGACUCCUACGGGAGGCAGCAGUGGCGAAUAUUGGACAAUGGGCGAAAGCAUGAUCCAGCCAUGCCGCGUGUGUGAAGAAGGUCUUCGGAUUGUAAAGCACUUUUAGUUGGGAGGAAGGGCAGUAAGUUAAUACCUUGCUGUUUUGACGUUACCAGCAGAAUAAGCACCGGCUAACUACGUG